AAGCCCGGAGUCUUUUGAAGCCGGAGACCAAAGUUAACGAUUCAUUUCCCGCAUUCCCUGUGGCCCCCUCUUGCACCUUAGCUCGGCUCUGAGCCCCUGAAACGCGCUUCGAGGCGAGUGCUUUCCUGCAAAGGGGCGACAGGUGGGCCAACCCGAGGCGAGAACGAGCAGAAAUUAUUUUUCUACUAAGGAGGGUGCUGAAUUGGAGCGACUGUGCUAACAAAACCUCUACUUGAAAAUCCCCCAGCUAAGGAGGAUCUGCCCGGAGUCAUGGCCACCCAGACGUCCGGUCCCCCUCCUUCUUCCACUGAAAAGUCGCACCGUUGACAAACGUUACCUGCCGGCACCGUGGUUUGAAAACGAAUACAGGGCAUUGAUACCAGCAUAACCUCCCCUACCCCUGGGCUUUUGGUGUAAGCAAAGGAAGCCAAAUGGAGAACUAAGACAAUUAUCUAAAUAGUCUAAAUAGCUCAAACACACUUCCAAGCAGAUCUUGCUCCAGUGGUCUGUGAUGGCAGCCUAGUAGGCAGUUUUCCAGUGGCCCUCCGGUGUUAAUCGCCUUAAUCUUCCACUGUGUCUACCCCAGCAAAGGGAAAGAUGCUAAGGCAGCUGUGGACUUGCAGCCUCCCUCCUGUGUGAGCAGACCCCCGAGAAUCACUGUACCAAGUGGAGCAGGAGCAGCGCCUUCCCUCGUGUGCUAAGCCCGCCUUUUCCGUAGUCCUCCAGCUCCUGGGCCAGGCGGCGCCUCCUUGAAGCUGGUUCCUACCUGUGCCCGCCUCUCCAGUCCAGCCCACAGUUCGGCUUCCAGAGCUGAACCCAGAUCCCAGAGCCUGGAGAAGCCAGAAAGAGGGGAGGUAAAAGAGAGGGCAUCUAGGCACACCACAGAGGCGACUGGCCUGCGAUAGGGGACAAAUCGAACUGCACGGGCUGAGCUCACACCCCUAGGGAGUGAUUUUUAAGGACUGCCCCCAUCCCAAUCUCCACUCCCUGUACUUUACUUGCAAAAGAAAAAAAGAAAAGAGCUCUUUCUGGCUCUUGGUGACCUGCGUUUAGGACAGCAUCUCGUCCCCCAGCACACACAUUCCUACGGUGUCACCUGGUCUCCAGUCCGAGCAUUUCCUGGAGUGCUAGCCACAUUCCCCUUCCUGGUGCUUUUCUUUGGUGGGGUCCGGGGAGGCCUUGUUUCGAAGUCGCUGUGACGUCAUCCCCUCGAGCUAAGCACCCGUCGGUGGGCCCUAGGAAUUGUAGCCUUGCCUGCUGGGGAGGGGCGGUGUGUGGGCCCAGCGACCAUUCCACCAAACAUCCAUUACCGCUGUCGCCUGCGGGGCCUUCAGGCUGCAAGUACUCAAGGUGUCAGAAAAGAAGCUGUAGGGUUCCUGUGGGGGCUCUUCUGCCAACUGAGUCAAGGGAUGUGCUGAAGAGUAUGAUUGAAGUACUCCGUGGAGUAGCAGAAAGGGGUAUUAAAAACUUCAACCUGAAAAUAAAAACUUUAACCUGUUCCCCAAAA